rnacentral:lncRNA from 1 species
ACCGCCACGGUGACUUGCAAGCAACUCACUGCACUUAGGCACUGGACUACCUGAAUUUCUAAUUCAGUGACGGAAGGCUGCUGGGUGUAGUCAAGUAUUUGACUUGUCGGUGCGUGUGUCAAGAUGGGAUUGACCACUCCAGUUUAGGAGCUGUGUACAGUCAUAUUUCAAUUUAGCAAAAUCUUAGCCAGGGUAGUCUUUGUGAGGAGUCACAGGACUAUUUGAGUUGAGCACGAUUCGGAUGAUCUAAUCAGGGUUGACAGUUUAACCCUGAGUCGUCCUAAACACAGAGGUCAAAAGGAUGAAUUAUACAGUAACCAUAUUCACGUAGGUUCUGAGUGUUGCGAUUGCGACUAUUCGACCUAUCUGAUCAUCGGGUACCAUUGCUAGAUGGUCACUUCGAUUAGUAC